GUUUGUGUGAAUCUCUAUGUAUAUUUAUAUACAACUUUAUUACCGCGGCGUGAUAAUAACAAAUUAAACGUUGGUCAUUAAUUCACAUAAACUUAACAAUUAAGAUAAGCUUUCAUUUUCGUCACAAAUUUCUAAGAUAAAGGUCAAUUUAAAUUAAUUAAUUUAACCUACAGGGGAGAAACAUGCUGGUAUGAGUAACAACAACAGUUGAAAAAUUUAUUUUACAAAAAAACAACAAUACUGGCCAGUUUGUGGAAUACAAAUACCAAAAUAAGGGCCUUUAAAUUUUUUACUGGAAUAGUACUUUUUGCAAAAAGAAAAACUAUACUUUUCUCAAGUCUUUAUUAACGUCAUAAACUUUAUCCUUUUUAUUCUUAUUCAAUUUAUGAUUUUACAUAAGAAUUUGUACAAUAUAAAAAAACCUAACAGUAAAGUAUAAUUCAAUAAUAAUCGGCUCACUGAAAGGUUUUUUGCACAGAGAUAUUUUGUCCCAAGAACUAAUUAGCACAAUUGAAUUUUUUAAAUAUAAUUCGCCCAUAAAUACGAUGUACUCUAUUUUCAAUGGAUUUAUAAAAUCCAAACGGGAGCACAAUUUUCCAGAAGUGGAAACAAGAACAAAGGCAUUAUGUUUCUUAACAAUACAUUAUCAAAGUUCAAAGGUAAAAUUUCCUCGAAAAAGAAUGAAACAAUGAGUGCAUAAAAAUGUAUUCUUUAAAUUUGGUCAGGGCGUUCGAGGGAAAUUUGGUUCAGAAGAUAAAGGUACAAAAUGAUGCCAAUUUUCCAAUUUGGAUCUAGUUAGAGAUGGUUCUCAAGGAAGAGCAGAGUUUUCUAAUUUUUUUUUUUUUCAUUUUGUAAUUAUGAAUUAUACAUCAGAUUAUCUCAGAUCUGUAUAUUUGUUGGAGGAGAGAAGAUUCCGAGCACGACGAGUAUAAAUCGUUGCCCGAAUGACACGGAAAACAAGUAAACACAAAAAAAAAUAAUAAAGCCGUUCAAAAACAAGUUAUAUAACCACUUAAUAAAAACUUUUAAAAGUUUAUAAAAAAUUUCUUUAAAAUUAAAUCAUUAAAUAAAAACGUUCUGUGUAGAUCAAGGACGGCUGAACAAAACACAAGAAAACCCAAAAGACGCGAUCCAGCGGUGUGAUCAGUGGGUUCAGUGAAAACUUGGCAACUCUUAGAAAAGUUAGAAAAUACAAACAAAUACAAGUUAAUAGAACAAGGGGUUUAACUAGAAAACAGGACAUGUGUGCAGUUUGUAAAUGCACAAUUUUAUAUAUCAAUAAUGCCAUCUUGUUGAGGCUAUUUUUUGCAUACUGUUCUUAUUUCUGAUCCUUUUAUCAGUUAUUUUUUUGUUUAAUUUGUUUCUCGUUUGCUCGGAAUACGAUCAGACGAUAGUAUCGCUUUUAUCAGACCUAGCCUCUCUGAUAUUGCUCUCACAAUAAAUGUUACCUAUUUUCAUUCUGAUUCAUGAUACUAAAUGGAUUCUUUGUUGUUUUAAAAGUUCUUAAUUAUAUUUAAAAAAAUAGUUUAGAGUUCAUUCUGGUGGAUAUUGUUCAAACGCAUAUUUAAUAUAGACAAGAUGAACCCGAAUGUUCGUCUUGAUCCGGAUCUGCACGGUGCCAAGGACGAGGGAUUUCGCAACAGAUUCGGAAAACCGUUUAAUCCACAAACUCCAAAGCCCACCGGGUACGAGUAACCCUGAACAACGGGUAAGAAAGGACGAAUGACGAACUGACAAACGCCUACACAGCUAACAUAAAUAGUUCACUGCCUGUAAGCAUUCUAAGAGCCCGUAAAUAUACGAGAAGUAUUUUUAAAAA